UGCUUAGUUUCCAAGUUUAUCUCAAAACUUCACCUUCUAUGAAUGCCCCCAGGUGGUGCAUAUCUAAAAGCUCUUUGUGCAUUCUUAAGAUUUUUGUAUAUGCAUUUGCGUGAAUUGAGCCCGGAUCUGAUCUGGUUUGGCUAUGUUCAUGGUUUUCUUUGGUCAUGUAUGAGUGGAAAAGGGAGGCAGGGGAGUUCCAGUUUGUGAGGACAGUGGUGACAUGGUUGACUGAAUGGCAAUAGGAAGAAGGCACAUCUCACAUAAUUGUUUUAUUCAAGACAAGUCUACACUCUCUUAUGUCAAAUUUGCACAGAUUUCCCUGCCCUAGGCUAUUUCUAAGGGGGAGAGAAGAGUGUUAUUUUUUUUGGGGAUUACAAAGAAUGGUAGCGCAUGAGGAGUAUUAGCCACGGAGGAGGGAGGAGACUGACAUGAGGAAAACAUAUUCUGGAUCGAUUUGGUUCUCAUGGUUUGGUACUAAUUUCUCAAAAAAUCAUGCUUUUGCAGCACCGUCCUGUUGAGCCAUGAGAUCUGAACCAAGGAAUCCAGAUAACAUCGACUAUGUUUAUAGAUCACUACAUGUUCCGUUGGAACAUUGUGAGGUCCUUUUUCCAGUUUGCUACUAAAUUCUCAAAAAAGAAACGUUCUUAUGCAUCACCAUCAUGUGGAACCACGAUACCUGAACCAAUGAACUCAGUGAACAUUUAUUAUAUUUAUUAUGGAUCAUUACAUGUUCUGCUGGAACAAGGAGGUGAAGAUGCUCACGCCUAAAGCCAAACUUGACGCCGUCGACGCCACCAUCCGGGAGCUCAUUUAUAUUGGCUUCGAAUGGCUACCGUUGUAUUUUCUGUACUUUUGGUUGUGGUCGUAAUUGUUACCCUAUGCCUUUGCAAGAAUAACUGAAAAUGGUGAUUUCUAUUGACUGGAAACCGAGUACUUGUCUAAUUAUUGUUCAAGAAAAUAUAGUGAGUCGUGUUCUUGGUUGCUAAUAGUAUAGUACACCUAUGCGGAUCCUUCUGUCGGACCGUUGAAUGGAAAUAACUCAAAAGAAGAUAAUAGAGAUGUUGUCUCUAUGCAAUCGGUAACUGUCAGUUCAGUUACAAAGAACGACCAUCACAAAUAACUUUGAGAUGUCCAUUGGUAAAGGUCAGUUUGGAGUAGUCUAUUUUGGCUACUUGGAAGAUGGAACCCCAGUUGCAGUCAAAACACGCUUAGAAUCAUCAUCUCAUGGGGUUAAUGAGUUCUUGGCAGAGGCUCUACAUCUAAUAAGAGUUCAUCACAGGAACUUGGUCAAUCUGGUUAGCCACUACAAGGAUGGACACCACUCAACUCUUGUCUACGAGUAUAAAUUGCUAAUUUGCAUUGCUCUUUCGUGCAACAAGUGCGUUGAUACUUACAAACAACGAGGCAUGUGACUAUUUACUAUCACUGUUGUUUGGUAUUCGAACAUGUCUUUUCGAGGGGGAGAUGGGAACAGAUAGACUCAGUGAAAGUUGGCUGCACGUAAACUAUUGUGAUCAAGUUGGAAAAAAAUGUUUCCCCUCUUAACUGCUCCUGUUGGAGACUGGGGUCAGUAGUCACUGAAAUUUGCACACGCAUGGAGGAAUGAAUGAUGAUUCUCAAGUAACGAAGUUGUAGCCUUCACGACAAGAUAAAUGGAUGAUUUUGCAGCUC